GACGAACGCUGGCGGCGCGCUUAACACAUGCAAGUCGAACGGAAAGGCCUGCUUUCCCUUGUGGAUUGCGGGUACUCGAGUGGCGAACGGGUGAGUAACACGUGAGUGAUCUGCCCCCAACUUGGGUAUAAGCCUGGGAAACUGGGUCUAAUUCCCGAUAGGACUGCAGGGUGGUGCCUGUGGUGGAACACGAUUUUCUAGUGGUUGGGGAUGAGCUCGCGGCCUAUCAGCUUGUUGGUGGGGUAAUGGCCUACCAAGGCGGGGACGGGUAGCCGGCCGGAGAGGGUGCACGGCCACAUUGGGACUGGGAUACGGCCCAGACGCCUACGGGAGGCAGCAGUGGGGAAUAUAACACAAGGGGCGGAAGCCUGAUGCAGCGACGCCGCGUGGGGGAUGACGGCCUUCGGGUGGUAAACUCCUUUCGACCGAGAGGAAGCCACCUGGUUGGAAGGGUGGUGACGGUAGUGGUAGAAGAAGCACCGGCUAACUACGUG
rnacentral:rRNA from 1 species